rnacentral:rRNA from 1 species
CAGAACGAACGCUGGCGGCAGGCCUAACACAUGCAAGUCGAGCGCGCCCUUCGGGGUGAGCGGCGGACGGGUUAGUAACGCGUGGGAAUAUGCCCAAAGGUACGGAAUAGCCUCUGGAAACGGAGAGUAAUACCGUAUGUGCCCUUCGGGGGAAAGAUUUAUCGCCUUUGGAUUAGCCCGCGUUAGAUUAGGUAGUUGGUGGGGUAAUGGCCUACCAAGCCUACGAUCUAUAGCUGGUUUUAGAGGAUGAUCAGCAACACUGGGACUGAGACACGGCCCAGACUCCUACGGGAGGCAGCAGUGGGGAAUCUUGGACAAUGGGGGCAACCCUGAUCCAGCCAUGCCGCGNNANUGAUGAAGGCCUUAGGGUCGUAAAGCUCUUUCGCCUG